AUUGAACGCUGGCGGCAGGCCUAACACAUGCAAGUCGAGCGGAUGAAGGGAGCUUGCUCCUGGAUUCAGCGGCGGACGGGUGAGUAAUGCCUAGGAAUCUGCCUGGUAGUGGGGGAUAACGUCCGGAAACGGGCGCUAAUACCGCAUACGUCCUGAGGGAGAAAGUGGGGGAUCUUCGGACCUCACGCUAUCAGAUGAGCCUAGGUCGGAUUAGCUAGUUGGUGGGGUAAAGGCCUACCAAGGCGACGAUCCGUAACUGGUCUGAGAGGAUGAUCAGUCACACUGGAACUGAGACACGGUCCAGAAUCCUACGGGAGGCAGCAGUGGGGAAUAUUGGACAAUGGGCGAAAGCCUGAUCCAGCCAUGCCGCGUGUGUGAAGAAGGUCUUCGGAUUGUAAAGCACUUUAAGUUGGGAGGAAGGGCAGUAAGUUAAUACCUUGCUGUUUUGACGUUACCAACAGAAUAAGCACCGGAUAACUUCGUG
rnacentral:rRNA from 1 species